ACCUGCGGAGGGAUCAUUACUGAGUUUACGCUCUAUAACCCUUUGUGAACAUACCUAUAACUGUUGCUUCGGCGGGUAGGGUCUCCGUGACCCUCCCGGCCUCCCGCCCCCGGGCGGGUCGGCGCCCGCCGGAGGAUAACCAAACUCUGAUUUAACGACGUUUCUUCUGAGUGGUACAAGCAAAUAAUCAAAACUUUUAACAACGGAUCUCUUGGUUCUGGCAUCGAUGAAGAACGCAGCGAAAUGCGAUAAGUAAUGUGAAUUGCAGAAUUCAGUGAAUCAUCGAAUCUUUGAACGCACAUUGCGCCCGCCAGCAUUCUGGCGGGCAUGCCUGUUCGAGCGUCAUUUCAACCCUCAAGCUCUGCUUGGUGUUGGGGCCCUACAGCUGAUGUAGGCCCUCAAAGGUAGUGGCGGACCCUCCCGGAGCCUCCUUUGCGUAGUAACUUUACGUCUCGCACUGGGAUCCGGAGGGACUCUUGCCGUAAAACCCCCAAUUCUCCAAAGGUUGACCUCGGAUCAGGUAGGAAUACCCGCUGAACUUAAGCAUAUCAAUAG
rnacentral:rRNA from 1 species